UACGAAGGGGGCUAGCGUUGCUCGGAAUCACUGGGCGUAAAGGGCGCGUAGGCGGCCAUUCAAGUCGGGGGGUGAAAGCCUGUGGCUCAACCACAGAAUUGCCUUCGAUACUGUUUGGCUUGAGUUUGGUAGAGGUUGGUGGAACUGCGAGUGUAGAGGUGAAAUUCGUAGAUAUUCGCAAGAACACCAGUGGCGAAGGCGGCCAACUGGACCAACACUGACGCUGAGGCGCGAAAGCGUGGGGAGCAAACAGG
rnacentral:rRNA from 1 species